UUAGAGUUUGAUCCUGGCUCAGGAUGAACGCUGGCGGCGUGCUUAACACAUGCAAGUCGAACGGUGAAAGCGGAGCUUGCUCCGCUGGAUCAGUGGCGAACGGGUGAGUAACACGUGAGCAAUCUGCCCCUGACUCUGGGAUAAGCGCUGGAAACGGCGUCUAAUACCGGAUACGAGCUGCGAAGGCAUCUUCAGCAGCUGGAAAGAACUUCGGUCAGGGAUGAGCUCGCGGCCUAUCAGCUAGUUGGUGAGGUAACGGCUCACCAAGGCGUCGACGGGUAGCCGGCCUGAGAGGGUGACCGGCCACACUGGGACUGAGACACGGCCCAGACUCCUACGGGAGGCAGCAGUGGGGAAUAUUGCACAAUGGGCGAAAGCCUGAUGCAGCAACGCCGCGUGAGGGACGACGGCCUUCGGGUUGUAAACCUCUUUUAGCAGGGAAGAAGCGAAAGUGACGGUACCUGCAGAAAAAGCGCCGGGCUAACUACGUGCCAGCAGCCGCGGUAAUACGUAGGGCGCAAGCGUUAUCCGGAAUUAUUGGGCGUAAAGAGCUCGUAGGCGGUCUGUCGCGUCUGCUGUGAAAACCCGAGGCUCAACCUCGGGCCUGCAGUGGGUACGGGCAGACUAGAGUGCGGUAGGGGAGAUUGGAAUUCCUGGUGUAGCGGUGGAAUGCGCAGAUAUCAGGAGGAACACCGAUGGCGAAGGCAGAUCUCUGGGCCGUAACUGACGCUGAGGAGCGAAAGGGUGGGGAGCAAACAGGGGUAGAUACCCUGGUAGUCCACCCCCGUAAACGUUGGGAACUAGUUGUGGGGACCAUUUCCACAGGUGUCCGUGGACGCAGAUAACGCAUUAAGUUUCCCCGCGUGGGGAGUACGGGCGCAAGGGUAAAACAUCAAAGGAAUUGACGCGGGACACCGCACACAAGGGCGGAGCAUGCGGAUUAUAUUUCGAUGCGAACAGCGAGAGAGACCUUACCAAGGCUUGAGCAUAAUAUGAGAGACCGGGCCACGAAAUGAUCUAACUCUUUUGGGACACUCUGUAAACACGUGGUGUCAUGGUUGGUCGUCAGCGUCGUGUUCUUGAGGAUGUUUUGGGUUAAGUCCCGCAACGAGCGCAACCCUCGUUCUAUGUUGCCAGCGCGUAAUGGUGGGAACAUCAUGGGAUACUGCCGGGGUCAACUCGGAGGAAGGUGGGGAUGACGUCAAAUCAUCAUGCCCCUUAUGUGUUGGGCUUCACGCAUGUUACAAUGGCCGGUACAAAGGGCUGCAAUACCGUAAGGUGGAGCGAAUCCCAAAAAACCGGGGCCACUUCGGAGUGAGAUGUGCAACUCGACCUCACGAAGAGGGAGUCGCUAGUGUUCGCAGAGCAGCAACGCUGCGGGGAAUACGUGCCCGGGUCUUGUACACACCCCCCG
rnacentral:rRNA from 2 species